rnacentral:sRNA from 1 species
GCAGCCGGACUGUAGACAGGACACAGAAACGCUUGUCUGGUGCAGGCGCCAUGCUCGCCGCACAGGCCCAGGGUGUCCAGGGUUUUCCGGAAGGGGCUCGUGUGUUCAUCAAAGCCCGUGAUAACAUGCUGGAGUGCAGGAUCAGGAACAGGAGAUACCUCAAGGGCCAGCCCACAAUGCAGCCACACCCGGCUCCAGGAAGUCUUCCUUGAACCCAAAGCUCAGGGGUGCAGAGCAAGGAGAGGGCUUGCUAACCUUCACACCCACCAAGCAGGCACUCUUGUGCCUCUGUCCCAGCUGGCCUAUGGCCCAGCCGUCCCACCACAGACCCUCCACAACCCCGUCCAGCAGAUCCUGGCCUACGCAGGCUUCCGCCCGACGCCCGAGCCUGUCCCGACCUGCUCACCCUACCCUCUGCCCCUUCAGCCCUGCAGCCGCUUCCCAGUUGUGCCCUCCUCUGCCCUGGCUUCGUCUGAGGACCUGCAGCCCCCCUCUCCAAGCAGCUCUGGCUCUGGGCUUCCCAGCCAGGCUCCACCGCGCUACACACCCACUUACUUUCCCCCGGGGGAGAAGCCACCCCCCUAUGCACCCUGAUAGAGGCGUGGAGUAAAAGAUAACUUUUGUUUGUUUAAAAAAAGAAAAAA